rnacentral:rRNA from 1 species
AUCUACCUCUUAGUGGGGAAUAACCCUGGGAAACCGGGGCUAAUACCGCAUAAGUCCUUAGGGAGAAAGCAGCAAUGCGCUGGGAGAGGAGUCCGCGGCCGAUUAGCUAGUUGGCAGGGUAAAAGCCUACCAAGGCAACGAUCGGUAGCCGGCCUGAGAGGGCACACGGCCACACUGGCACUGAAACACGGGCCAGACUCCUACGGGAGGCAGCAGUGGGGAAUCUUGCGCAAUGGGGGAAACCCUGAUGCAGCGACGCCGCGUGAGCGAUGAAGCCCUUCGGGGUGUAAAGCUCUUUCGGCAGGGAAGAUAAUGACGGUACCUGCAGAAGCAGCUGCGGCUAACUACGUGCCAGCAGCCGCGGUAAUACGUAGGCAGCAAGCGUUGUUCGGAGUUACUGGGCGUAAAGGGUGUGUAGGCGGUUGUUUAAGUUUGGUGUGAAAUCUCCCGGCUCAACUAGGAGGGUGCGCCGAAUACUGAAUGACUCGAGUGCGGGAGAGGAAAGUGGAAUUCCUGGUGUAGCGGUGAAAUGCGUAGAUAUCAGGAGGAACACCGGUGGUGUAGACGGCUUUCUGGACCGUAACUGACGCUGAGACACG